GAAAGGGAUAACGAUGGUAGAUACCUUACAUUCGACUGUGAAUUAGAUGGAGUUAGAAUGAUAUUAGGAAAUGUUUAUUUCCAACUAGGAACAAGGCAAAUGAGCAAAUAGAAGAGUCCUGCAAAAGAUCAAUAUCAUUAUAAAUAAAAAUUCUCUCAGUCAUGUUAUUAUAUUAGGUGGUGAUUUUAAUAUGAUAUUAGAUGAUAAAUUAGAUGAUAAGGGGUCAACCAUACAGGUGAAAUCUAGAUUUAAUACAGAAUUUUUGGAGUUCAUGGACAAAUUUCAAUUAAUAGAUAUUUGGAGGAAAAUAUAUCCAGGAAAACAACAGUUUACUUUAAGACAGAAGACACUACCUAUUCAAAGUAGGCUAGAUUAUUGGAUAAUAUCAAAAGAAGUUGAAACAUUGGUGCUGGAAUAUGACAUUUUACCGUAACUCCAGACCAUUCUGGAAUCUUGCUUACCUGUAGUAGUGGAAAAAAAGAAGUGAAGCGAGGUCCUUCAUAUUGGAAAUUCAAUUAUUAUGAUAAAGAAUAUAUGUUCUGCUAUGAAAAAUGAGAUUCUUAGUUCAGUGGAAAAAGCAACACAGAAAUGUCUUUUCUAAUUACUCAUUGCUUUGGGGCUUUAUUAGAUUAAAGAUUAGAGAGUGUACUCGAAAAUAUUCUAAAGAAAAGGCACGAGAAAGAAAUAAGCUGAUUUUAGAGUCCAAAGUGAAAGACUUAUGAGGCGUUGCAAGAAAGUUAUGUUGCAAUUGAUUGCAAAUCGACUGCAACUUUGCAGCCGAUUCCGAUCGACUGCAACUAGCAAUCAAUCGCCAAUUUGCGUUGCAAGAAAAAGGCUUGCGAUUGAACGCAAGUUGCAGCUGACCUGCAGACGAUUUGCAGCUGUAAACAGGGUCUGCAGCACAAGACUAGCCGAAAAAGCAAAAUAAUGGCUUGCAACAAUCCUGUUUGUGGAAGAGAUUAUGACAAAGAAGUCUGGAACCUCAGAACCACCAUAACUGUGUCUGCUACAAUGUGUGUUCUUGCAACCAGCUGAUUGAUUCAUUUUAUCAACUCUUGAAUGGUUGAUUAUCAGAACUGAAUUCAGAGCUGCUCCUGUCUGUAGCAGGGGCCGCGGAACCGGGG